rnacentral:rRNA from 1 species
CCUACGGGAGGCAGCAGUGAGGAAUAUUGGUCAAUGGGCGCUAGCCUGAACCAGCCAAGUAGCGUGAAGGAUGACUGCCCUAUGGGUUGUAAACUUCUUUUAUAUGGGAAUAAAGUGCAGUAUGUAUACUGCUUUGCAUGUACCUUAUGAAUAAGGAUCGGCCAAAUCCGUGCCAGCAACCGCGGUAAUACGGAGGAUUCGAGCGUUAUCCGGAUUUAUUGGGGUUAAAGGGAGCCUAGGCGGGUUGUUAAGUCAGGUGGGAAAGUUUGCGGCCCAACCGUCAUAUUGCAGUUGAUACUGGCAUCCUUGAGUACAGUAGAAGUAUGCGGAAUGCGUGGUGUAGCGGUGAAAUGCUUAGAUAUCACGAAGAACUCCGAUUGCGAAGGCAGCCUGCUGGACUGUAACUGACGCUGAUGCUCGAAAGUGUGGGUAUCGAACAGGAUUAGAUACCCCAGUAGUC